rnacentral:rRNA from 1 species
UGGGGGAUUUUGGACAAUGGGCGAAAGCCUGAUCCAGCAAUGCCGCGUGUGUGAAGAAGGCCUUCGGGUUGUAAAGCACUUUUGUCCGGAAAGAAAUCCUUGGCUCUAAUACAGUCGGGGGAUGACGGUACCGGAAGAAUAAGCACCGGCUAACUACGUGCCAGCAGCCGCGGUAAUACGUAGGGUGCAAGCGUUAAUCGGAAUUACUGGGCGUAAAGCGUGCGCAGGCGGUUUGCUAAGACCGAUGUGAAAUCCCCGGGCUCAACCUGGGAACUGCAUUGGUGACUGGCAGGCUAGAGUAUGGCAGAGGGGGGUAGAAUUCCACGUGUAGCAGUGAAAUGCGUAGAGAUGUGGAGGAAUACCGAUGGCGAAGGCAGCCCCCUGGGCCAAUACUGACGCUCAUGCACGAAAGCGUGGGGAGCAAACAGGAUUAGAUACCCUGGUAGUCCACGCCCUAAACGAUGUCAACUAGUUGUUGGGGAUUCAUUUCCUUAGUAACGUAGCUAACGCGUGAAGUUGACCGCCUGGGGAGUACGGUCGCAAGAUUAAAACUUAAA